UGUCAUUGAUGUUCGUUGGCGUGAGUAGAUGUUCCCCGUAUCUGUUUCCUGUCCACGAAUAAAUCCCCAGUAUUUCCCGACUUUGCCUACUUGCCUGUUCCUGCUCGCCUGCCGACCCGCACGAUCGCUGCUUCGCCCGACCGCGGUCGUGACACAGAUGAAAAGAACAGUGAUAUAUCAAAAGUGGAAUGGUCACGCAAGCAAUGCAAUGACGAGGACACACUGAAUUACGCUGCCCUGAACCUUAAGAAGCCAAAACCCAGGAGACAGAAGAAAGACAGGAAUAAUGACACUC